rnacentral:rRNA from 1 species
AUGGCAGGAUCUACACCAAGUGUGCGUCGAAAGAAUAAUGGAGAAGGAAAUUGUUUGGCCACCCGCGCUGAUGUGAUGCAACUGGAGAACAAUAUACUCCGAGCCAUGGAGAGGAUGCUUCACGAGUGUCCUCCAACAUGUGGUGAUGGGGUUCGACACCGACAAUACCCUGUUGCUCAUGGAGUGCAGCAAAGAAGACAUGCUCGAGGGCACGAUGUUGCUGCUCGUGGGCGUGUCACUACUACUCAAGAAGUACAGAAAGGAGGACGUGCUCGAGAGCAUGGUGUUGCUGCUCCUGAAGUGCAGCAAGGACGGCAUGCUCGAGGGCAUGCUACCGCUACCCCGAGGCGUGUCACUGCUACUCCUGAAUCGCAGCAAGGAUGUCAUGACCGGCGACAAAGUUAUGGCACUCGUCGGCACACCGACGACCCACCGCAAAGCAUUACCGUGGUUGAUGAACCAACUCCGGUGAAUCAUAGCCCAUGUUCACAUGAUAAGGUCACUCCUAAUGUUGGCAUCUCGACCACCACUAUGGUCCCAACAUCCAAAAAAGAAGCACUAGAAAUUCCAUUUGAGGAAGAGAGUCCACAAUCCAAAAUCCCACAAUAUAAGAGUGAUAAGAAAAGCAAGAUGAGUGACUCCACCAAAAGUGAGGAAGAGUGCCCACUUUCGAAAACCCCACAACUUGAGAGUGAAAAGAAAAAUGAGUUGAGUGACUCCACCAAAUGUGAGGAAGAGUCUCCACUUUCCACAAUUCCAUAUAUUGAGAGUGAGAAAAGUGAGGUGAGUGGGUCCACAAAAUGCGAGGAUCAGGUUGUUCAUCAUGAGAUUAGAGGAAUGAAAGAUCUGCACCUAGAUAUACCACACAUUGAGGGAGAGAAGAUUAAUGAGUUGUGUGAGUCCACAAAAUGUGAGAUUGAGAUCAUUCCACACCUCACUAGAGAGAUAAGCGAUCCACAACCCAAUAUACCACACAAUAAGAGUGAGAGGAUAAGUGAGUUAUGUGAGUCCACUAAAUGUGAGGUUGAGAUUUUUCAACAAAAGAAUAGCGAGAUGAGUGAUCCACCACCAUGGGAAAUUAUUAGUCCACCAAAUGAAAAGAGAGAGGAACAUUCAAUAACUAACAUUUCACAAAAUUCUCUUUCUUUGUAA